rnacentral:rRNA from 1 species
CACAGUAGUUAAGCCCACAUACGUCGAAAGUACUUGGUUGGAAACGGCCCGGGAGGAUAGAUAGUUGCUGGUU